rnacentral:rRNA from 1 species
CGCGGUAAUACUGGCAGAACAAGUGGUGCCCACGAAUAUUGGGUCUAAAGAGACCGUAGCUGGCCUGUUAAGUCCACUGUGAAAUCUUGGGGCUCAACCUCAAGGCGUGCAGUAGAUACUGGCAGGCUCGAGAGCGGGGGAGGUCAGGGGUACUUACGGGGUAUGAGUAAAAUCAGUUGAUCCUGUAAGGACCACCAGUGGCGAAGGCGCCUGACCAAAACGCGUCUAACAGUGAGGGUCGAAGGCUAGGAGAACAAAUCGGAUUAGAUACCCGAGUAGCCCUAGCAGUAAAUCAUGCAGACUGUGGUGUUGCUAUGGCUUCGGGCCAUGGCAGUGCUGUAGCGUAGGUGUUAAGUCUGCCACCUGGGGAGUACGGCCGCAAGGUUGAAACUUAAAGGAAUUGGCGGG